GACGAACGCUGGCGGCGUGCUUAACACAUGCAAGUCGAACGGAAAGGCCCUGCUUUUGUGGGGUGCUCGAGUGGCGAACGGGUGAGUAACACGUGAGUAACCUGCCCUUGACUUUGGGAUAACUUCAGGAAACUGGGGCUAAUACCGGAUAGGAGCUCCUGCUGCAUGGUGGGGGUUGGAAAGUUUCGGCGGUUGGGGAUGGACUCGCGGCUUAUCAGCUUGUUGGUGGGGUAGUGGCUUACCAAGGCUUUGACGGGUAGCCGGCCUGAGAGGGUGACCGGCCACAUUGGGACUGAGAUACGGCCCAGACUCCUACGGGAGGCAGCAGUGGGGAAUAUUGCACAAUGGGCGGAAGCCUGAUGCAGCAACGCCGCGUGCGGGAUGACGGCCUUCGGGUUGUAAACCGCUUUCGCCUGUGACGAAGCGUGAGUGACGGUAAUGGGUAAAGAAGCACCGGCUAACUACGUGCCAGCAGCCGCGGUGAUACGUAGGGUGCGAGCGUUGUCCGGAUUUAUUGGGCGUAAAGGGCUCGUAGGUGGUUGAUCGCGUCGGAAGUGUAAUCUUGGGGCUUAACCCUGAGCGUGCUUUCGAUACGGGUUGACUUGAGGAAGGUAGGGGAGAAUGGAAUUUCCUGGUGGAGCGGUGGAAUGCGCAGAUAUCAGGAGGAACACCAGUGGCGAAGGCGGUUCUCUGGGCCUUUCCUGACGCUGAGGAGCGAAAGCGUGGGGAGCGAACAGGCUUAGAUACCCUGGUAGUCCACGCUGUAAACGGUGGGUACUAGGUGUGGGGUCCAUUCCACGGGUUCCGUGCCGUAGCUAACGCUUUAAGUACCCCGCCUGGGGAGUACGGCCGCAAGGCUAAAACUCACAGGAAUUGACGGGGCCCCGCACAAGCGGCGGAGCAUGCGGAUUAAUUCGAUGCAACGCGUAGAACCUUACCUGGGUUUGACAUGGAUCGGGAGUGCUCAGAGAUGGGUGUGCCUCUUUUGGGGUCGGUUCACAGGUGGUGCAUGCCUGUCGUCAGCUCGUGUCGUGAGAUGUUGGGUUAAGUCCCGCAACGAGCGCAACCCUUGUUCACUGUUGCCAGCACGUUAUGGUGGGGACUCAGUGGAGACCGCCGGGGUCAACUCGGAGGAAGGUGGGGAUGACGUCAAGUCCUCAUGCCCCUUAUGUCCAGGGCUUCACGCAUGCUACAAUGGCUGGUACAGAGAGUGGCGAGCCUGUGAGGGUGAGCGAAUCUCGGAAAGCCGGUCUCAGUUCGGAUUGGGGUCUGCAACUCGACCUCAUGAAGUCGGAGUCGCUAGUAAUCGCAGAUCAGCAACGCUGCGGUGAAUACGUUCCCGGGGCU
rnacentral:rRNA from 1 species